rnacentral:lncRNA from 1 species
AGGAAUCCAGCUGUGACCAGAGCCAAAAGACAGCCGUGCCAACCAGCACCAUCCAGCUCGGUCCAAUGUUCUCCAGGAACAAGCGGCGAGAAUAGGAGGCAAGGCUCCGCCGCAUCGAAAGCAGACAAAAGGUUCCCUGACGAGGUCAAUGUCUCCCAACCAGACACAGAGGGCCAGCUUACGGCCACGAGGUCCUUGCAGUGUGGCGUGUGCGAGAAAGUUUUCAAACGCAAGUCGCA